rnacentral:hammerhead_ribozyme from 1 species
AUCCAGCUGACGAGUCCCAAAUAGGAUGAAACGCGCCCCCUGGAU